AAGGCAGGCAGGGUGAACUGGCCAGUGGGGGUGGGGGAUGGGAGCUUCACUCCCUUCCCCAGAGACCUGCUCUGCCCUGUGGCCAGGCCAGGGGACCAGGGAAGGGACUGCCCACUGCGUGAGGGGAGCUUUGCUGGUAGCAGCCAAGACGUCUACAGCUACUGACCUUGGAACAGGAUGGAGGACCACAGAACACGCAGGAGUCCAGACGGGCCGUGCAGGGAUAAGAAGCGUGCCACAACACCGGGGACAGAAUUCUGAAUGCCAAAACCUUCUCACCGAGGAGGUGUUGUGGAGCUGGUGACCGUACCUGCCAUCAGGGGCCUGGUAAAUCUCAUACUUGAAGCCCAAAGCCUUGGCCAGCGCAUCCAGGACAUCGAUGGAGAACCCCUUGUAGCGCUUAGGCUGCCCAAGGAUGUUCUCAGCCACCAUCACGAAAGGCUCUUCCUGGGAACAGCAGAACGAACGAUCUUCAUUAACACCCAUGUCUGGGGUACAGUCGGACAGACCCAUCUAGGAAUCCUAACUUGAAUUGUUAGCAUUUACCCAAUUUCGACCUGGAGGCUGAACUCCUCUGCCCUUUUCUAAAAGCAGUUUAUGGGCAAUCAAGGAACAGUGUGCAGGACAAUCACCCCAAUCAGCAGGUCAACACACAGCCAUGCAAAUUUACCUGUCCUGUGUGACGUCAUCCCAGGCUGUGCCCAAACCCCAGCUCGUAGAAUAACAGCCCUCGUUUUCCUACUUUCAUUUGUAACACACUCUGUCCUUAGGAAAUGCCAUAAUUUUAGGAGACCUACAUAAGACAUGUGACACUUCUCAUCCAGGAUAAUAAAUGGCAAUAAAGAUCUGAGAUAUUAAA